rnacentral:rRNA from 1 species
GACGAACGCUGGCGGCGUGCUUAACACAUGCAAGUCGAACGGAAAGGCCCUGCUUUUGUGGGGUGCUCGUGUGGCGAACGGGUGAGUAUCACGCGAGUAAACUGCCCUUGUCUUUGGGAUAACUUCAGGAAACUGGGGCUAAUACCGGAUAGGAGCUUUUGCUGCAUGGGGGGGGAUGGAGAGAUUCGGCGGUUUGGGAUGGACUGGCGGCUUAUCAGCUAGUUGGUGGGGUAGUUGCUUACAAAGGGUUUGAGGGGUAGGCGGCCUGAGAGGUUGACCGGGCACAUGAGGCCUGAGAUAGGGCGCAGACGCGUACGGGAGGCAGCAGGGGGGAACAUGGCGCAAUGGGCGGAAGCCAGAUGCAGCAACGCUGCGUGCGGGAUGACGGCUUACGGGUGGUAAACCGCUUUCGCAUGAGACGAAGCGAGAGUGACGGUAAUGGGUAAAGAAGCACCGGCUAACUACGUG